rnacentral:rRNA from 1 species
CCUAAUACAUGCAAGUCGAGCGAACAGACGAGGAGCUUGCUCCUCUGACGUUAGCGGCGGACGGGUGAGUAACACGUGGAUAACCUACCUAUAAGACUGGGAUAACUUCGGGAAACCGGAGCUAAUACCGGAUAAUAUAUUGAACCGCAUGGUUCAAUAGUGAAAGACGGUUUUGCUGUCACUUAUAGAUGGAUCCGCGCCGCAUUAGCUAGUUGGUAAGGUAACGGCUUACCAAGGCAACGAUGCGUAGCCGACCUGAGAGGGUGAUCGGCCACACUGGAACUGAGACACGGUCCAGACUCCUACGGGAGGCAGCAGUAGGGAAUCUUCCGCAAUGGGCGAAAGCCUGACGGAGCAACGCCGCGUGAGUGAUGAAGGUCUUCGGAUCGUAAAACUCUGUUAUUAGGGAAGAAUAAAUGUGUAAGUAACUAUGCACGUCUUGACGGUACCUAAUCAGAAAGCCACGGCUAACUACGUGCCAGCAGCCGCGGUAAUACGUAGGUGGCAAGCGUUAUCCGGAAUUAUUGGGCGUAAAGCGCGCGUAGGCGGUUUUUUAAGUCUGAUGUGAAAGCCCACGGCUCAACCGUGGAGGGUCAUUGGAAACUGGAAAACUUGAGUGCAGAAGAGGAAAGUGGAAUUCCAUGUGUAGCGGUGAAAUGCGCAGAGAUAUGGAGGAACACCAGUGGCGAAGGCGACUUUCUGGUCUGUA